ACAUUCUUGUAGUAUUGGACAUUUUCUUCAGUUUAAUGGUAUGAAUUGAUGUUUAUAUUACUAAAUUUACUGAUAUAUAUUGUCUUCUUCAAACACCCAUUUGUUCUCGUUAGUUUAGAUGAAAAAAAUUAGGGAUCUGUUUCUAGAUUUUCUGUUUGGUUUUGGUUUUGGUUUUGGUGUUAAUUUGUUGUUCUUCAUUUUCUAGUGGACAAUUUACACCAAUUUACUAUUUUAUUAGAUGCUAAACCUGAUAAAUUUUGGAAUUUCAGUUCAAACAAGAGAAGAAAAGUAAGCCACCAUUAGUUUUAAAUAGUGGAAUACAAAAUGCAUAAGUUCCGACUAAAGAGUUGAUAAAUCAGUCGACAAAAUAACUACGAAAAUUCACUAUUGACCUACUGAUGUUUGUUUCAUGUCUCAAAUAUUUUAUUUGGAAGCGCAAUAAGUAGAAAAUAGAUAGCUAUUGUUCAAUAGAAAGCAGUUUUACCUUGUUUUUUGUUAGAACAUGUAUUACAUAUAAAGAAUGUUUGUUUAGGUUCAUAUAUGAGUGAAGUAUUCUUUUGUAUUUUCACUGAAGAAGCAUUCCAUACUAAUUGAAAAUUAUGAAAAAUGGAAGUAUGGUAUUUCGAUUCCAAAUGACCUAAAAGAGCAGAAAGGUGCCCUUGGUCCUUCUCCCUCACACAACUUGAAAGGCUUCUUUGCAAAGAUCAAGAACACAAUUUAGGUACUUGAUUUUGAUUUGACAUUUUUUGGUUUUUUUCAUCUGCUUGACUUCGUCUUGUGACUUUCUCUUGUGAUUUAGCUGGAAACCGGAGCUCCGGAUUCGGGGUUUUCAAAGUGGUUUGACAGGUUAAGCAAACUAGAGAAAGAGGCAGCUGAUAGAAGAAAAUUAGUGAGCAAAUGGCAUCCAACAACAAAGAGUACAUUUAGGUGACAUUACAAAAUUCAUUCUAAAUCAGAAGGUAGGUGUUUGCUUAAAGCCAUCGCAUCCUGUGGCUACAACAUUUCAUAAGCUUUUGCACCUGCACCAACAAGGUGGGCACAAGAAGAUAGCAGAAGUUGCAAAAGCUUAAAGACGGCCGAUAGAGGAAAAAGAAAAUAUUGGAGCAAAUGAAUGAAUAAUUGGUUUAUAGCAGUUAAUCUUAGUUAGUUUUGGACAAGGGGAACAUAAUAAGCUUUCUUAAACUUCUAAUUUAUAUUAAGAUUCAUUGUAAGAUGUAUAUUGUAUGAUUUGAAGAUAUAAUAUUUUUUGUAUUUUAUGAUCAUUUAAUUAAUUAUAU